CCUAUGUGUAAGGCGUAAUUUAUUAGUGAAGCAACUUUGAACUGGAUGGCAACUUGUUCAAAUCAAAUCACUCAAGGAGUUAGGGGUGUUUGCAAGUGCUGUACUUGUGCAUUCCCAAAGCAUCUAAUGUAAAAAUGCUGUUCUGUUGAGAGUGAUCUUCAUCACUACCAAAAUGCUGAACUCCCUUUCUAAAGGUAGGUCUGAGCUUCCUGCCCCUGCUUUCCUUGCAGCAGAAACUUAUUCCCAUGGAAAAAAUUGAACCCCAAAAAGCAAAUGCCUUGGAGCAACUUCAUCACAUGCUUCUACACUGGACUAGCAGCAAGGAAGUCCCUAGGCUCCCUUCUGCUUUUGAAUGAGCCUGAUACCUAAAUCUCAGUGAGGAAGUCAUUUGCCUGCUGCAGGAGGUCUCCCUUUGGAAGAUGCUGUUCAUAGGCAUAAGCCAGCUGCCUCCUCACCUUCUAGGGCAUCCCCUGCCUUCCCAGAGCUCAGAAGUGCUGCAGAGCUUUUUCCCUUGCAGCUGUAACACAGGCAAGAAAGGAACCCACACUUGGAUCCCUGGAGGCAGGCAAUCUAUUGUCCUUAAAACAAAGGAACUUUUCCUCGGAAGUACCAGCAACAAUGCAAAGUGCCCAAGAGCCUUUACUUCAUCCUGGACCAGGCUUCCUGAUGGUUUCCAGGAUGCUUGUCUGGUCUGACAGCUCUGAAAUGACUGUCUACAUGGAUAUGAGGAACAUGCAAGAAACUUCAGGUGCAAGGUGACUUCUUGUCUCAGUACUGGGGACCUGGGCUUUGAGCAGACCUAAAGGAUGUUGGGUGGACAUAACAGCCCAGAAAAUCCUCCAUACAGCAGAGGAAACUCAUUUUGAAACCUCAAGAGCUGCCGUGAAAUGGGAUCAUCAUCCUCCAGGGAGCUCUGGUGCCUCCAUGCCUUAAGCAGUCGUGACUAACUCUCACACCAGCCUGGCACGUUUCCUUUUCCUCACACCCUGACUCAUUUUGCAUUUUUCUUCCAUUCCUGUGCACACAAAGGGCAGCACAAGACCAGCCGAUCUUUUAGUCUUCUCCAGUGGCUGUUCUAGACCCAGAUAUUGAGCCUAUCUGAGAAAACUGAGAAGCAAAGCUCCUUCUUAAUUCUACCCUGGUGUUUUGUCACUGUGGGUACGGCCAAUGUCAGCAAGGACUCUAUAACUUCAUCUGCCAACUGAGCUCUGGCCAUCAUCCAGGAACAGAGUGUGAUGCUCCCUGUCCCAGGUUGAGGCCUAGCCUCAUCUGCCAGUGCUGUCGUAGGCUUUUUACCCCAAAAUGCAAGGUAUGGAAUCACCUUUUAGAUAGGACCUGGAGAGCUACAGCUGGGAUCCACAGUCUUGUUUGAGUGUCAGCCUGCGUCUCAUCAAGGCAGAUCAGAAAGCAUCAGGCUGGCUUAUGAGGGCAGCACCCCUCCCUUGCCAUAAUCCGUGCUCCUUAUCCAUGCAUAUGAAUGCAAAGAGGAAAUGUUAUUUCUGUGGUGACGCAUCCUUGAGAGAAUCUAAUCUGGAUUUAUUCAGGUCGUAAAACUGACUUAGCACUGUGGUACCUAGACAGCAGGAUAAAUACAACCUUCUAUUUAUAACACUGCCAAUCUGGCACCACUCAUAAGCACUAAAAAUACAACUUUUUUACAAAGCAAGUGGAAUUAAUGGGUGCUGUUUUUGCAUUGUCUCUGAGCCAGUCCCUGAUCCUAGGGCAUGGUGCCUGGCAGACAUUCUGCACAACAUGACUGAAAUGCCACCUCUUUGGAGGGUCAGGUGCUGUGGUAGCAGCAACUCCUUUCUCUUCAGGUGCUCUGACUGUGUGUAACCCCUCCACAAGUCUGGGACAGGAGUUUUGAGUCCUGAUAAUCAAAUGACACAAGCAAAGCCUAGGAAAAAGGCAAUUUGCUCUGCUGGAGCUUCCUGGCACAUGCCUCUGGUCCAACUGUGUGAAGCCCAUCCUCCUCUCCAGCUAAGCUUGUAUGAGCUUGCAGGAGCAUUAAGAGGGUGAAUGCUGCUGGAGGCGGUAUGCGAACAGCUGAGCUGGUGCUAAAGCUGCUGCUCUUCUCUCCCCUCUCUGCCAGGUCCAGCCUGUGUUAUCACCACCGACACUAGGGCUUGGCUGCCAGCACUGGAGGGGAUGCGUCAGACACAGAGGCAGAGCCUGGGCUGACCCGGCUGCACAGCAGAGCCAAAGAACCCCAGUCUCGUCAGGCUUGUGCAAUCCACCAUGUGGUAAUCAAGGGCUGGCUGCCCUAGGACAGUGGAUCUAGAUUAACUUGUCAAGUGAUCUGUUUAAGUUGCAGGUGAACCCACAGUGGAUCUUCUUUCCUAGGACUGAAGUGAGCCUCACCUGCUAACUAUAGAAGCCUUUAUGGCAGAGCUGGCAUGGUUUGAGUUAAGGUGCAGGCAUCAGGCAUGGCACUGUGUGAUGUGGAAGCAACAGACGUCAGUGUUCCCCAAAAUUCAGUCAAAUCGAGAAGGAAAGGCCUGAGUGAAAACAGGAGCCUGGAUAACAGGGGAACACCAGCUUCCAAAGCAAUCCAUCCUCAGACUCCAUUCCUUAGCAGAGAGGAGGACAGUGUUUGGGGGAAGCUGUUCUGGAGGAAAAGCAUCCUUUGCUGAAGCAGGCUCAGGAUGGGAGGUGCACCAGCAAGACAGCUGAAAGGUCUGUGACCAGCCCUGCUGCCUCAAGAAGGAUGUCUUAAAACCAGGAAACCGAGAAGAAGCAAACAGCUUACUGUGGACAAUCAAAAACCAACCUCCAACAAGCCACCUGUCUUCUGGGAACAUUCAGGAUGC